rnacentral:rRNA from 1 species
CAGUCGCCGCGGUAAUACGUAGGUGGCAAGCGUUGUCCGGAAUUAUUGGGCGUAAAGCGCGCGCAGGCGGUUUCUUAAGUCUGAUGUGAAAGCCCACGGCUCAACCGUGGAGGGUCAUUGGAAACUGGGGAACUUGAGUGCAGAAGAGAAAAGCGGAAUUCCACGUGUAGCGGUGAAAUGCGUAGAGAUGUGGAGGAACACCAGUGGCGAAGGCGGCUUUUUGGUCUGUAACUGACGCUGAGGCGCGAAAGCGUGGGGAGCAAACAGGAUUAGAUACCCCCGUAGUCCCUGUCUCUUAUAC